CAGAUGGAAUGACUGGCUACUGUAAUAAUACUACAGCAGCUCCAUAAUGCAUGAAAUCCUAAAAAGUAUGUAAUAUUAUAAGUAUCUUUUCAAUACAGGUUUCAUUGCUAUUAUUCAUCAGUUUCCGUUUAGAUUACCUGUUCCGAUUUAAUAACCUUUGAUAAAUUUGAAAAAUUUGUCUUUCAAACAGAGCCUGUUAGUAUUAAUGAAGAAAAUGAGGGAUUUGAACAUAACACACAAGUUAGAAAUCAAGGAAUUAUAGCUUUGAGUUACCGUGACUGGGAGGAGAUUGUGAAGACCUUUGAGAUUUCAGAGCCUGUGAUUACUCCAAGUCAGAGGCAGCAGAAGCCAAGUGCUUGAUGCUAGCUGAAGGACUCAAAUGGAUAGUGAAGUCCAAAACGGAAAGCGGCAUGUAUCGUACAUAUUGUAUGAUUCAACAUUUUUAAAGGCAGAUUGUUUUUAGUAAAAUGUAGCUUUUGAUAGUUAAUAAAUUUGUCAUGGUUGUCUUUGAUUAAAGGAAACUCACCGCCAUAUUCACAAA
rnacentral:lncRNA from 1 species